GAAAGAAUGUGUCUCUGUUCAUCAGCGACCUGAAGGCUGAACACUCAGCGGUGUACUACUGUGCAGCGAGCGAUGCACAUCGACAGCAGAGUUGCGUUCUUCAUACAAAAACCCAGGAUCAGAUUCUGUCAGUGGUUUUAAAUCAGAGCUAGAAUAAGCCCCGCCCAUCAUCUCACUCAGCAUCCACUGUCUUUCCAAAGCUCAGUCAGCUUAGCAGCAGCUCAUGACAUGGUUGGAUUUUCACUAGUGUUAGUAAAGGUAAUGGGAGUAAAGUCAACAUGAUUACUUUGCUGCUUUUGUGUUUUGUCUCAGGUAUUAGUCUGGGUCUUGAGGUCCGCCAGUCUCCCUCUGAUCUCUUCACUAAUCCUGAUGGCAAAGUUCAGAUUUUCUGCACACACGAUAAAACCGACUUCAGAGCGAUGCUCUGGUACCAGAGGUCACCUGGAGACACAGCUUUGAAGCUCAUCGGAUAUCUGUACCACAAAGCUGUCUCAAUGGAGGACCAGUAUAAGCAUGGGUUUGACCUUACCGGGGAUUUAGGCGGAGAUGCGACAAAGAAUGGAUCUCUGCUCAUUAAACAUGUAAAACCUGGACAAAGUGCUGUUUACUUCUGUGCAGCAAGCAGAGCACAAUGACAGAAGCUCCUUCUGAUCGUUACCAAAACCAUUUUCUGAUAUUCUGUGGUUCAGACACCUGCUGCUGUGGGUUUUUCAUGUGCUUUUAUAUUAUUGAUGAAUGUACAGCUUUAAUCUGGAUUGGGUAGUGGUUAGUACUGUUAACAUAAUAGUAAUUUUCUGUGUGGAGUUUGCUUGUUUUCAUGGUUUUCAUCAUUCCUGUAUGCUGCAGGCUUUCACACACAGGUUGUUACGUCCUCAAAUGAUGGAUAAGGAGAAGGACAGGGAGUAACACAGAGGCAUGUGUUUCAGGUGUUAAAAUAGUAAACAAUGAUUUUAUUAAAAGGAUUUUAAAAUGACAAAAAGCUCCAAAUCUAAAAGUACUUAAAUCAUACUGUUAAAAUGGCCAAGGGGUUUCGUUUAGAACUUAGUUCUCCCCCACCUCAAGACCCUCACAGCCCCCCUCCUGGACCCCCUGCAGUUUGCAUACAGAGCAAACAGGUCUGUAGAUGAUGCAAUCAACAUGGCUCUACAAUUCAUCCUGCAGCAUCUGGACUCCCCAGGUACCUAUGCCAGGAUAUUGUUCGUGGACUUCAGCUCUGCAUUCAACACAAUCCUGCCAGACCUCCUCCAAGACAAAAUGUCCCAGAUGAACGUGCCUGACCCCAUCUGCAGGUGGAUCACUGACUUCCUGACAGACAGGAAACAACAAGUCAGGCUGGGGAAGAAUGUCUCGGACCAUCAGCACCGGCUCACCACAGGGCUGUGUUCUUUCCCCUCUGCUCUUCUCCCUGUACACCAACAGCUGCACCUCCAAGCAUGAGUCUGUCAAACUAAUUAAGUUUGCUGAUGACACCACCAUCAUUGGACUCAUCUCUAAUGGGGAUGAGUCCGCUUACAGAAUGGAGGCUGAAUGGCUGGUGUCCUGGUGCAGCCACAACAACCUGGUGCUAAACACCCAGAAGACAGCGGAGGUUAUUGUGGACUUUAGGAAACACACACACCCCAUCCCCCCCUUAAACCUCUCUGACACUCCCAUCACGAUGGUGGACUCAUGUCGUUUCUUGGGCACCACCAUCACCCAGGACCUCAAAUGGGAGCCCACCAUCACCACCAUCAGAAAAAGGGCCCAGCAGAGGAUGUACUUCCUGAGGCAGUCAAUGAGGCAUUUCUACACCGCUAUCAUCGAGUCCACCCUCACCUCCUCCAUCACCGUGUGGUACGCUGGAGCUACCACCAGGGACAAGAAGAGGCUGCAGCGUGUCGUGCGCUCUGCAGAGAAGGUCAUUGGCUGCAAACUCCCCUCCAUUCAAGAUCUGUACACCUCUAGGACAUUGAGGCGUGCAGGUCGGAUAAUAGCUGACUCGUCUCACCCUGGACACAGUCUCUUCGACUCGCUCCCAUCUGGCAGAAGGCUCAGAUCCAUUCGGACCAGAACCUCUCGCCACAAAAACAGUUUCUUCCCCUCUGCAGUUGGACUUUUGAAUGAACAUCCUAGGGCAGCCCACUCAAGUUGAUUGGUCCCAGUCACGUGACCCGAUGC